rnacentral:rRNA from 1 species
GGGUUGUGAGGUUAAGCGACUAAGCGUACACGGUGGAUGCCCUGGCAGUCAGAGGCGAUGAAGGGCGUGCUAAUCUGCGAUAAGCGCCGGUAAGGUGAUAUGAACCGUUAUAACCGGCGAUACCCGAAUGGGGAAACCCAGUGUGACUCGUCACACUAUCAUUAACUGAAUCCAUAGGUUAAUGAGGCGAACCGGGGGAACUGAAACAUCUAAGUACCCCGAGGAAAAGAAAUCAACCGAGAUUCCCCCAGUAGCGGCGAGCGAACGGGGAGGAGCCCAGAGCCUGAAUCAGCAUGUGUGUUAGUGGAAGCGUCUGGAAAGGCGCGCGAUACAGGGUGACAGCCCCGUACACAAAAGCGCAUGUGCUGUGAGCUCGAUGAGUAGGGCGGGACACGUGGUAUCCUGUCUGAAUAUGGGGGGACCAUCCUCCAAGGCUAAAUACUCCUGACUGACCGAUAGUGAACCAGUACCGUGAGGGAAAGGCGAAAAGAACCCCGGCGAGGGGAGUGAAAAAGAACCUGAAACCGUGUACGUACAAGCAGUGGGAGCACAGGUUUACCUGUGUGACUGCGUACCUUUUGUAUAAUGGGUCAGCGACUUAUAUUCUGUAGCAAGGUUAACCGUAUAGGGGAGCCGAAGGGAAACCGAGUCUUAACCGGGCGUUAAGUUGCAGGGUAUAGACCCGAAACCCGGUGAUCUAGCCAUGGGCAGGUUGAAGGUUGGGUAACACUAACUGGAGGACCGAACCGACUAAUGUUGAAAAAUUAGCGGAUGACCUGUGGCUGGGGGUGAAAGGCCAAUCAAACCGGGAGAUAGCUGGUUCUCCCCGAAAGCUAUUUAGGUAGCGCCUCGUGAACUCAUCUCCGGGGGUAGAGCACUGUUUCGGCUAGGGGGCCAUCCCGGCUUACCAACCCGAUGCAAACUGCGAAUACCGGAGAAUGUUAUCACGGGAGACACACGGCGGGUGCUAACGUCCGUCGUGAAGAGGGAAACAACCCAGACCGCCAGCUAAGGUCCCAAAGUCAUGGUUAAGUGGGAAACGAUGUGGGAAGGCCCAGACAGCCAGGAUGUUGGCUUAGAAGCAGCCAUCAUUUAAAGAAAGCGUAAUAGCUCACUGGUCGAGUCGGCCUGCGCGGAAGAUGUAACGGGGCUAAACCAUGCACCGAAGCUGCGGCAGCGACAUUUAGGUGUUGUUGGGUAGGGGAGCGUUCUGUAAGCCUGUGAAGGUGGCCUGUGAGGGUUGCUGGAGGUAUCAGAAGUGCGAAUGCUGACAUAAGUAACGAUAAAGCGGGUGAAAAGCCCGCUCGCCGGAAGACCAAGGGUUCCUGUCCAACGUUAAUCGGGGCAGGGUGAGUCGACCCCUAAGGCGAGGCCGA